UCAGCGAAUGGAUGGAUUAUCCAGUCAAGGUACAGAAUGAAAGACUUGACUGAGUUAGAAGAAGCUGGGCGACUCUUCAGAGUGAAGAUGUUAUGUGCCUGCUUUCGAACCACACCCGUGGAGAUAUCUGCCAACAAAUGGACAAUCAUUCAUGGGGCUACAGAUGGGGCUGCAUUCAAGAAUUUUCAAUGUAUGUGUUCAAAUUCACAUUCUGCGUAAAAAAAAAGUUUCGAUGAGAGGUGAUGGAGGGUGGUGUUUGGCACUAUGACCCUAUCUCGUCUGCAAAUUAAAUUGGUGCAAAACUGGCCGCCAUGCUUGCACUAAGUGUGGCCUUACUUUGCCUAUUCACGUACGUUUGUCACUUAAUUUUACUGACUUGCACUAGAUGAAACGGCAAUAAAGAUUUUUUUAUCUUUGUGAUAAGUU